rnacentral:lncRNA from 1 species
UAAAAAUGUUGUUUAUAAAAGUUUUUUUUUCGUUUUUUUUUUUUGAGAGAGAUUGGUAGCACGCUAUCCGCUUCGUUUAUUUCAUUUAGAAAUAAACUUAGCUAAAAAUGUGAAUCAACUAGGAUUCAAACUUCGUUUAUAAAAAUAUUGCCACUUGCUCUAAGUACAGUCGGUAUGUUGUUUAUAAAAGUUUUUAAAAAAUAAUGUCAAAUAAGAUUUUGAAAUGUAAAGUAAGAAAUUUGGUAAAGUUUGGGAGGCCAAUGUUACAAUUUAUCUUAGGAAAAUACUAUAUGUAUUUCUAUAUAAACAUAUAAAUCUUACAAAGAGAGUUUUCUAUAUGAUUCACACAUAAUUUAUAAUUUAUAGAUAUAUAGAUAGGAUUACUCUUGUCUUAUAAUAAAUUACUAAAAGUACUCUAUCAAACUCUAUACUAAAGUUGAAACCAAAUGCCGUUCCUCCAUCGAGCCACGUGGUCUGAACAUUAAAUACAAUGUGCAUGAACAUUAAAUAUAAUGUGCCACGUGUCUCUCUCUCCCUCACAUGCUCUCCCUGUGCAUGAACCAAAAUAAUUCAUUCACAUAGAAUAUUGCCAUGUACUAUUGCUAUCUUGCUAAUCAUUAGGGUGCAUGCAUCCACCUCCCAGCUUUUCCUAUAUAUCUAGCAUUGUUCACUAUCAAACAAAUGUAUGAAUGUGUAUACUUGUCUCUACUUAUUUGUUCCUUCCAGUUUUAUCAGUAGUGCUAGAACAUAUUCUCGACCUUGCUAUAUUUGUUUUGAAAUUAUUUG